UGCUACUAAACAACCGAGUUUUAUGCUGGAGCCGCGAUGAGAGUACCGGAGCGAGUAGAGUGGUAUUGUGCGCGCGAGUAUAGCGAAGUCGCUAUACGAGUCCGGUGGUGGCUGCGUUCAAAACGACUUUCACUUCGGGCCGCGGGGUCCGGCUUCCCUAGAUGGGGGAGAUCCAGUUUUUCCAAAGCUUUUUUCCAAUUAAACACGCAGCUCAAUGACAGAUUACAGGCAGAAAAUUCGUGACUUUCUUUGAAAACACGCGACUGUGUCUCGAAGCAGAGAGUUUUCCGAACGUUUACAGAACGGCUGCCAGGACGCGAGGCCGCCAUUGCUUCACGGACCUGAUUCACAGACAAACAGCCGGAAAAUCGUAAACCACUCCCGGUAGAUGGCGAUACCAAUAGGAAGCUUUCGCACGAAGCUUGAAAGCUGCCCGUGCGAAAACUCUUCCGGAAGAGCCGUCAGAUGGUGCAAAAGCUUGCCAAGCGGUUAUCGCUAGUACAAAGAAGCCACUGUGUCCGAUUUUACCCUCGGUUGUCGGGCUGCCAGAAAGCUCUCAACCUGGGAAAGCUUUCCGGAACUCGAAGAUGAGAAAACAGCUGAUUACUUAAUAAUUUUACUGCUAAUAAGAACAAGCUUAUUUUCAAAUUAACAAAAAAUAAUUUCUAAGACGAAUCGCAUAACAGAUAGCGCAAUAAUAUUUUUAAAUAGAUGCAGGAAUAUAUCCAAAGGAUCAAGAGAUGUGGGAAAAAUAUAUAAUAUAUAAUA